rnacentral:rRNA from 1 species
GACGAACGCUGGCGGCGUGCUUAACACAUGCAAGUCGAACGGUAAGGCCCUCCGGGGUACACGAGUGGCGAACGGGUGAGUAACACGUGGGUGAUCUGCCCUGCACUUCGGGAUAAGCCUGGGAAACUGGGUCUAAUACCGGAUAGGACCACUGCCUGCAUGGGUGGUGGUGGAAAGCUUUUGCGGUGUGGGAUGGGCCCGCGGCCUAUCAGCUUGUUGGUGGGGUGAUGGCCUACCAAGGCGACGACGGGUAGCCGGCCUGAGAGGGUGACCGGCCACACUGGGACUGAGAUACGGCCCAGACUCCUACGGGAGGCAGCAGUGGGGAAUAUUGCACAAUGGGCGCAAGCCUGAUGCAGCGACGCCGCGUGAGGGACGACGGCCUUCGGGUUGUAAACCUCUUUCAGCACCGACGAAGCGCAAGUGACGGUAGGUGCAGAAGAAGGACCGGCCAACUACGUGCCAGCCGCCGCAGUAA